rnacentral:rRNA from 1 species
AAGCGUUGUUCGGAAUUACUGGGCGUAAAGGGCUAGUAGGUGGCCAACUAAGUCAGACGUGAAAUCCCUCGGCUUAACCGGGGAACUGCGUCUGAUACUGGAUGGCUUGAAUCCGGGAGAGGGACGUGGAAUUCCAGGUGUAGCGGUGAAAUGCGUAGAUAUCUGGAGGAACACCGGUGGCGAAGGCGACGUCCUGGACCGGCAUUGACGCUGAGGCGCGAAAGCCAGGGGAGCAAACGGG